UACGGGGGGGGUAAGCGUUGUUCGGAAUUACUGGGCGUAAAGGGCUCGUAGGCGGCCAACUAAGUCAGACGUGAAAUCCUCAGCUUAACUGGGGAACUGCGUCUGAUACUGGAUGGCUUGGAUCCGGAAGAGGGAUGCGGAAUUCCAGGUGUAGCGGUGAAAUGCGUAGAUAUCUGGAGGAACACCGGUGGCGAAGGCGGCAUCCUGGGCCGGUAUUGACGCUGAGGAGCGAAAGCCAGGGGAGCAAACGGG
rnacentral:rRNA from 1 species